AUUGAACGCUGGCGGCAGGCCUAACACAUGCAAGUCGAACGGUAACAGGAAACAGCUUGCUGUUUCGCUGACGAGUGGCGGACGGGUGAGUAAUGUCUGGGAAACUGCCUGAUGGAGGGGGAUAACUACUGGAAACGGUAGCUAAUACCGCAUAACGUCGCAAGACCAAAGAGGGGGACCUUCGGGCCUCUUGCCAUCGGAUGUGCCCAGAUGGGAUUAGCUAGUAGGUGGGGUAACGGCUCACCUAGGCGACGAUCCCUAGCUGGUCUGAGAGGAUGGCCAGCCACACUGGAACUGAGACACGGUCCAGACUCCUACGGGAGGCAGCAGUGGGGAAUAUUGCACAAUGGGCGCAAGCCUGAUGCAGCCAUGCCGCGUGUAUGAAGGAGGCCUUCGGGUUGUAAAGUACUUUCAGCGGGGAGGAAGGGAGUAAAGUUAAUACCUUUGCUCAUUGACGUUACCCGCAGAAGAAGCACCGGCUAACUCCGUG
rnacentral:rRNA from 1 species